rnacentral:rRNA from 2 species
UACGAAGGGUGCGAGCGUUAAUCGGAAUUACUGGGCGUAAAGAGCACGUAGGCGGUUUGAUAAGCGGAAUGUGAAAUCCCCGGGCUUAACCUGGGAACUGCAUUCCGAACUGUCAGGCUAGAGUAUGAUAGAGGUGAGCGGAAUUUCCUGUGUAGCGGUGAAAUGCGUAGAUAUAGGAAGGAACAUCAGUUGCGAAGGCGGCUCACUGGAUCAAUACUGACGCUGAGGUGCGAAAGCGUGGGUAGCGAACAGG